rnacentral:rRNA from 1 species
GACAGAGGGUGCAAACGUUGUUCGGAAUUACUGGGCGUAAAGCGCGUGUAGGCGGCCCGGAAAGUCGGAUGUGAAAGCCCUGGGCUUAACCUAGGAAGUGCAUUCGAAACUCUCGGGCUUGAGUUCUGGAGAGGAAGGCGGAAUUCUCGGUGUAGAGGUGAAAUGCGUAGAUAUCGUAAGGAAGACCAGUGGCGAAGGCGGGUCUCUGGACAGUUCCUGACGCUGAGGCACGAAGGCCAGGGGAGCAAACGGG